rnacentral:rRNA from 1 species
CAAACGAUACGUGUUGUGUCAAGUGAUGUAUUCGUAAGGGCCUCUGAAAAAUUCUGAAAAAUAUACGAACUGUUAAGUUUGUACCAAUCAGUCGGCAAGAAAAACGCCGAAACACCAAAAAUACAUUGCACAGAAAUAAAAAAUAGCUCGUUUCGAUUAGGAAACGAAUUAGACAAUCAAAUUCACAUUCCAAAAAGGUACUCGAUAAAAAAACCCAAUAACUAAUCCAAAAAA